GCCGCCCUGCCCGCGGGGGCCUCCGGGCCAGCCCGCCCUGGGCCUCGGGAGCGGCGGCGGUGCGCGCCCGCGGCCUCGGCCUGGAGCCCCCGCGGGGGCCUGACCCGCGCUCUGCGGGCCGCCAGCUGUGUGACCUUGGCCAAAACGUUUACGUUUUCCUGGCCUCGUUCUCCCCAGCUGUGAAGGCGCUGUGACCUGCGGCUCCCGGGGCCCAAGGGAUCAGAUCCGAUAUCCCUCUGCAGGCUCUGGCCUGCCGCCGUGACCGAACCCGCGCUCCUCUCAUCCUCUCAUCGUCACGGGAGAUGCCGGAUCCCCACAGAGGUGGAGGAGCGCCGCAGAGUCCCUUCACUGCUUACCGGGCCCCUACUGCUCGGUCUUGCUGAAACUCUCAUUCAUGUGUCUCUCUGUUCGCUUGCGUUGUUGGCGUCCUGUGCGCGGGCACAAACACCUCCUGGGAUCAGCUCCGGUCCCAAGCAGAGAGCCUGUGCGCCGCCGUUAUUUCCUGUGCCUCGAGCAGUGCCAGGCCCCGUAGUAGGACCUUGAAAAAAUGCUUGUCGUGUGAAUACGGCACCACCAUCUACACAGUCCUGCAAGCCAAAAAGCUGGAACUUCUGGUCGAACGGUCGGCUUCAACCGUCUGCAAUCAACAAGUGGUAGCAUUUGGUCUCCUAGAAAUGUACUGUUGGAGAAGGUAACUGAGAGAACAUGACCAUCAGUUGACCUUCGAGCUGGACUCUGGCAAUUGGAGGAUCCUCACCCACUUCCCUGUCUUUGGAAUAUAUACUCUGCUCACCAUUUCCAAACUGGGAGCUGUUCCAAGAACAUAGCCCUGAUCUUUUUCAGUUUGUCCUAUGUGAACAGCCCGGGCAUUUAAACACCCUCCUGAAUCUAUAGAAAAGUUGAAGACCCAUUUAAAAAUCAGGACAUAUCUCCUUACCUGAAUGCUGUAAGUCUUAAAUCAUAACCACUUCUAGAAGUUAGUCUGGACUAGCAAAUAAGUAAGGCCUAAUAUAAGUGCAUUUCAGUAAAAUCACUUGUAAAUUACAUUUCUGAUCAAUCUUUUCAGGCUUCUAACAUGCCAAAUUAGAGGUGAGUAUUCCAAUUAAGUCAGUCUUUAUCCUUUUGGCAAACAGGGAUAUGGAUCAAUAUACUUGGUGAUGGUGAAUAAAGUCCUUAGUUUUCACUUCUUCAUUCCUCAAAAAUACCUUCUUCAAGGAAAGCCCAAACCAGCAGGGCCACAACAGCAUCAGCCAUGAAAGUAGAUCUUCUGGUCAGCAGUCAUACUUUAAAACUCAACAUGAAGACAUUAUUAACAGGCUGAAACUGCAAGUCUCAAAGUCCUGAUGUUUGGCAAGUUUCAGGAGGUGGAAUCAGCGACCUCUGGGCGGAACAGGUGGAGGAGGAUGGAAGGUCUCUCUGGCUGGAGGUCUGAAAUAAAAGAUAAACAGCAAGUAUGAUGAACAUGGAUCCGUCCUCAUGGUGCUAAGAAAUUAAUGGAUAAAACAGACAAUAGGAACAAUCAGAAAACUGCACUGUUUUGAUAAAGUUCAGAACCUAUGGGAAGACAUAGCAAAGGCAAUCAUGCACUCAUCCAAAGGCCAAGUUCAACUUCUCUGAAUAUGUUUCUCACCUGCCAAACAGAAGUACCCACAGAUACCUACAUCUGCGUGUUGUGUGAGGCUUGGAGAUGACACUUGGAAACCAGACACUCCAGAAGUAAAGCUAAUAAUCUUCUUAUUAUGAAUAAAGAUCUGUUCUUAGAUUUCUUUCCCAUGUGUGCUCCAUGAGCCUUAUGAUUUAUCCUCCACCAUAAAGACAGUCAUGAUUUCCCCUGGCCCCUCUUCCUCUCUCUGCUGCCCCAUGCUGCAGCUGGGGUGGGCCUACAAGCAAACCAUUUCUGUAUUUUAUUCUGAUGAACAAUCCCAACCUAGGACUGGAAGUCCUAUCUCAAGGAAAUGGAUUUGUGAUCAUAGACCUAUCGGAACCAUGGACGUACAGAGUGUAAAAACAGAAUCAAAGGGUGGUCGGUGGGGGACACCCUCUCCAGGACACUGGGAAGCUGCAGCUGGAAACUCAAGUGCCCAGAGAUGCCUGAGAGCUGCCUGCUUUCUCCUCCUUGUCGAGGGGGAAGCUCUUGCUGCCAAUGAGUUUAGUUCAAGAGCCCAGCGAUCUCAAUGUUGGUUAACGUUCUUUUAAAGCAGGACUGUUACUUAGCUGGUAUGCUUUUUUAUGAUCAUAACAUUGUUGACAAUAUUUUUCAACUUCCCUAUUAAUAAAUAGCUUCAGUUCCAAGUACCCUUACUCACUGACCAUUCCAGCCCCUCCUAGAGACUCCACAGACCUCUUAUAAUUCUGCAUCUAACAUGUUAAUUUUGGGUGCUGCAGGAGGCCUCCAGAAGUAUGUUCUGAUUACACAGGACCUUGGCUAUGUAUGCCUUAAAAAGGAAUGCACAGGUUGUUAGUGACUGACUAACGAAUGGCAAAAUAUUUAUAAAA